CGAGUGAAGCGGGAAAAGCUCAAAUUUAAAAUCUGGUGGUGGCCAUCCGAGUUGUAAUCUAGAGAAGUGUUACCCGCGUUGGACCGUGUACAAGUCUCCUGGAAUGGAGCGUCAUAGAGGGUGAGAAUCCCGUCUUUGACACGGACUACCAAGGCUUUGUGGUGCGCUCUCAACGAGUCGAGUUGUUUGGGAAUGCAGCUCAAAAUGGGUGGUAAAUUCCAUCUAAAGCUAAAUACAGGCGAGAGACCGAUAGCGAACAAGUACCGUGAGGGAAAGAUGAAAAGAACUUUGGAAAGAGAGUUAAACAGUACGUGAAAUUGCUGAAAGGGAAACGCUGGAAGUCAGUCGCGUUGGCUAGGAAUCAACCUUGCUCUUUUGCAGGGCUUACUUCUUAGUUGACGGGCCAACAUCAAUUUUGACCAUUGGAGAAAGGCUCAGGAAAUGUGGCACCUUCGGGUGUGUUAUAGUCCUGGGUUGUAUACAGUGGUUGGGAUUGAGGAACGCAGCACGCCGCAAGGUUGGGUUUCGACCACACCCGUGCUUCGGAUGUUGGCAUAAUGGCUUUCAUCGACCCGUCUUGAAACACGGACCAAGGAGUCUAACAUGCCUGCGAGUGUUUGAGUG
rnacentral:rRNA from 1 species